GACGAACGCUGGCGGCGUGCCUAAUACAUGCAAGUCGAACGCAGUGGGGACGGGUGAGUAACACGUGGCUAACCUCCCAUCAGAGGGGAUAACACUUGGAAACAGGUGCUAAACCGCUCCUGAUGGAUGGACCCGCGGUGCAUUAGCUCGUGGGUGAGGUAACGGCUCACCAAGGCCACGAUGCAUAGCCGACCUGGUAGGGUGAUCGGCCAUACUGGGACUGAGACACGGCCCAGACUCCUACGGGAGGCAGCAGUAGGGAAUCUUCGGCAAUGGACGAAAGUCUGACCGAGCAACGCAGCGUGAGUGAAGAAGGUUUUCGGAUCGUAAAACUCUGUUGUUAGAGAAGCGGUAUCUAACCAGAAAGCCACGGCGAACUACGUGCCAGCAGCCGCGGUAAUUC
rnacentral:rRNA from 1 species